UACGGAGGAUGCGAGCGUUAUCCGGAUUUAUUGGGUUUAAAGGGUGCGUAGGCGGGCAUUUAAGCCGGCGGUCAAAUGUCGGGGCUCAACCCCGGCCUGCCGUCGGAACUGGGUGCCUUGAGUGGGCGAGAAGUAUGCGGAAUGCGCAGUGUAGCGGUGAAAUGCUUAGAUAUUGCGCAGAACUCCGAUUGCGAAGGCAGCAUACCGGCGGCGAUCUGACGCUGAGGCACGAAAGCGUGGGUAUCGAACAGG
rnacentral:rRNA from 1 species